AAUGUCAAAUUCAAAUUUCAAAUCCCCCUCCCACAAAUUCUCACUAACUCUGCAUUAAGUGCACAUGCGGUUUACCAAAAAAAUACAGGUACAAUUAAUCGGUAAUUACCGAGACAUGUUCUUCUUUCAAUAUGCCAACCUCUCCUCUCUGUUCCAAGUUUAUUACCUGAAAUCUCUCUUCUUCCCAUUCUCUCUCUUUUCUCUCUAUAUCUCUCUCACGGAUCAGAAAUCAACUACAUCUCUUUUCUCUCUAUCUCUCUCUCUCACGAAUCAGGAAAGCUUUUGCGUUGGCGGAUUUAGCUGUGGAUGCGUAAUCAUGCGAUCAUUUUGAGAUUUACGUGUUCAAGAUACGAAGAUGUGGAUGUUGAAGGUCACAUGAUUGGACGAAUCAGAAUCUCCCGUUGCGAAAUCGAACACCUCUUCGACGAUGUCACCUCCAGGGUUUUAUUGUAAGAGGGUUUAUAUGUAGAGACUGUCUACCACAAAAUCAGUAUCGGGAAAAGGACUUUAGAGAGUGGAGAAGGACCAGCCUGAACGAAAGAGUUGUUCUUGCUGAGUAAUUCCGGUUCUAUAUUCCAUUGCUAUACUCCAAAAAUGACUAUAACUGAAAAAUAUUGAGUAUCUGCAAUUCCAAUGGAGGAAGAACAUGUCAAGAAUCAAGAUAGUGUUUCACAGUUUGCCCUGCAGCCCCUGAAACUAGAUAGUGGUUACUUAACAACUGAUCCAAUAACUGAUAUUUUUUAGCAGAAACUGUCAUAGAGAAGCUGGCUAUUGAGUAUCUGCAUUUGAGUUUAUUGAAUAAAUGUUAUUUUUGAAAGUUCAAAUCUAAUGUAAUCUAAGAAUUGCAAUUGAGUAAUAUAAAUUUCACACUUUGUAUAAUUUAUUCUCUUCUUCAUUCCAAAUUCAAUUUUUUUUUUCUUUCAAUCCGAUGUUUUGAAACAUUGUUACCGUUCUGAACCAUUUCUGUUUUAUUGUGAUGCAGGCGGUGAUAGUUUUUACAUCAAUUCUUAACUCGAGCAUCUCCAAGCUAAAUAUAUUGAAACUUGCCAUUCUGAUAUGAACAGAUUGUGGGUUUCUCUUCUUUUUUUGUUUAUUCGAAUUAUUUACCCCCAAAUUUUCAUUGAUUUUUUUAAAAAAAUAUUUUCCCCUUAUUUUGAAGUGGAUUGUCGGUGAACAUUCAAGUGAUAUCUAUGAAUCACAUAUUGGAUACAACCUUUUACUUGCUAGAUUGACAUGUAGUUUAUUUGGCGCGGGUCCCGCUGUCAUUUUGGGAUCUUUUCUGGUGGUUGUUGUGCAGGUUUUUGGUGGUUUCGGGCUGCUAUCAUGGUGCUGUUGGCUGCUGUCUUGGUGCUAUCAUAGUCCUGUUGGCGGCUCUCUUGCUGGUUUCGAUUGCUGGCUGGCAUCUAGAGGGUUGGCGGUUGCAGCUGUUUGGCUGUUUUCUGCGGCUGUCAGCUGGGUUAGCAGCUACUGUCCACCGUUUUUCUGCUAUUUUUUUGGGUGCUUUGCUGCACUAGGGGGCUGGUUGUUGCACAUGUUGCGUUUAGGGACAACUCACAUGUUUGGUUGUUGGUUUUAAUGAAACCUACAACCCAUUUUUAGUUAAGUUUUGAUGAAAAAUCUAAUGCCUCUUCAUUUCUUUUUUAGUCUGCUGAAUAUGUGCAUUUUCUUGACAGAAUUAUGCUGUAACAACAAUAAACAAAUAAAUAUUUGGAGGGGUAAUUUGUGGUUUAUCACCUAAGAAAGUCAGAGUUGAAUAUGAUACUAAAUGUGCCUCUACUGUUAUGGUUGUUGAAGGAAAAUGAGUUUCUCGAAAAUGCAACAUAAACCGCAAUGCAAUGAUAGUUUUGGUUUUCAUGUGGCGAUUGUAAUACUUGAGUUUCCUAACAAUGCUCAAUGAUUUCUUUCUGCUGCUACUGUCUAGGACCAGAAAGAACUUUUACUCAUAUAUAUCCAAUUGUACCGAACAACACUGCAGCAUUAUUUUGUCCAUAUGAAAUUGAGUUUUUAUGUAUCCAAUUGUACUGAACAAUGGUGUUUUCUUCAUAAAGGUAAAGAAUACGUCAUAGGACCUGCAUCAGUAUCUUAAUCAAAGGUGUAUGAGCUCAAUAGUUUUUUAGUCCCCUAUAGUUGUUAAAUUGAUAAAUGAUGUUUUCUUAACUUUUUAUAGUGAAAAAAUAUCAUGUUUGAGAUGAGGAGAGCAGUUAAUGUGCCAUUUGUCUCAUUUAGUACUCAUGGCUCUCAAAAUGUUAUUUAUAUUUCUCUUAACUAGGGAUGAAUGUCAUGUGUUCUUUGGCUGCCAAUAUGCCGAUGAAGUAUGAUGAAUGGCUGGUGCAAAAGAUGCAGAAUUUGAUCAUGAGGCGCUGUUUUUUUUAUUUAUUUUAAGUUUUCUUUCCUAUUAUGCAGGGACUGUGCAGGAUCGGAAAACCUUUGCAGUGAUGUUUUAGUGCAUAUGGCGUCGUUGAAAUGAAAAAGUCUGGUACAAUCAAACAAAGAAGCAACAAUUUCAGUUCAGGACUCGCGUGAAGUGCAAUCUGAUUGGCAGCAGCAGCACGCUAAGCACACAGCAUCAGCUGCAAACAGCAGCACUGACAAUUUUAGCAGCGCUAUUGGAGUUCCAAGGUGGACUGAGCCAGCAAAUAGAGAUAUAAAAUGCAAUGUCGACAGAACGUCUCUUUCACAGUUACCAUAUUUAUCAUAUAACCAUAUAAUCUUCAUAACUUAAAGAGUGGCAAUCACCGCUAUUUCGGAACAAAUUUUUAUUGUGUUAUUCUUCAAUGCAAAAUCACCGAUAUUUAGGACGAGAAUUUUGCUGUGUUAUUCUUCAAUGUAAAAUCACCGCUAUUCAGGAACAUAUAUUUUAACCGUUAUUCUUUAAUGUAAAAUCACCGCUAUUUAGGCUAAGAUUUUUACUCUCUUCAAUGUAAAAUCAUUUCUAUUUAGGAUAAGAUUUUUACUGUGUCA